AGUCCGAGUGUUUUCUAUGAGGUAAUGUAAACGAAAGGCUAGUARACUUCACAGAGUUGACAUCAAACCAAUUUUUGUUCCACUUUACUAACCGCGCGAAUGCUCAUGAAACAGUAACUGAAGCAAAUCUUAGAUAAAAUACAAGGGAAAAGCUGAUUUAGACGUUCAAAGUUUACUGUACAUUCAGUGCAGAAUAUUAAAUGAAGACUCUCGAGUUCAAAAAGAAUAGUAAUAAAAAGGCAUAUGAAGGCUUUCAUCUGGACUUCAUAUAGUCCAACGGCUCAAUAACAAUAAGCCAAUUUUGAGCAAGAAGACAACCUAGAAUUACAGCUUGAGUUGAAUGGAUUGGCCUUUAUCUCGAGUCAGAAAUAUUACCCAAUAACAAUAUGCAAAAACACAGACAAAAGACGGUAUCAUUUGCAAAUUCACCUACUUUAAUAGCUUUGAAUAAAACUCCAAAUGACAAGUCAAUAAGUAAAAGUCUCGUUAAUUCCCAUGGCAACAAUCUCCACGAAAACGAUGAUAACGUCGACAUUUCUUACUACUUCUGUGAAAACUCAAGGAAGGAAUUCAGAGGAGCGCAGCAGAAAUAUCGCAGGUAUUGCUCAUUCUGUAGGAAAACACAUGAAAAGUUUAGCUCACGGGAAGGCAUCGAGAGAUUGUUCAGAAAUACAACAAGGGRCAAUAAGAGAUUGAAUUCUGUGUCUUCAUCAAAUGAUUCCGAUGUUUCCUCUGAAGAGAGCUUCGUCACUCGUAUCAARUCUGAAUUUGGACAGACGCGAUCUUCUUCUUUGAAUUCUCUUUCGAUUGAAGGGGAAAAAAUGUAUAAAGCACCGCUGGACAUGGCAAAAGASAGAGUGAUGAAAAGGCAUAAUGUCUCACGUGAAAGUAUCUAUGGAGACAGUAGCCAUGGAGACGACUUCAGUAGAAGAGUUUCAAUUAAUAUUGUGCUUCCGAGUAUUGUCUAUGACUCAGAUCAGUUUCCAUAGGGWGACGCAUUACAUCAUGGAUWUCUAUCAGCACGUCAUAUGUAGAAGGGGGCGGAAGGGCUUGCGUUUACGCAACUGUAGACAAUUUUUUGUGGGCGAUUCCYCAGUUGUUUUCAGACUCAACUUACGACUCCUUCUAUGUAGUUACUUACCUUAGGAGACCUGUUCCUAAGUUUUGAAUCAAAUAUUUGCAGAUUACAGAUGCUGAAUCUGUUAAAAUAGUAUUUUCCUUGUUGCUGUAACCCUAGUUUACACUUUGAAUAUCCUACCCUUCCAAGUAAUGCUUGUACAAAUACUUUUGUAAAAAAAAAUUCAUUUUUCCUGA